AGAGUUUGAUCCUGGCUCAGGAUGAACGCUGGCGGCGUGCCUAAUACAUGCAAGUCGAGCGAACGGACGAGAAGCUUGCUUCUCUGAUGUUAGCGGCGGACGGGUGAGUAACACGUGGAUAACCUACCUAUAAGACUGGGAUAACUUCGGGAAACCGUAGCUAAUACCGGAUAAUAUUUUGAACCGCAUGGUUCAAAAGUGAAAGACGGUCUUGCUGUCACUUAUAGAUGGAUCCGCGCUGCAUUAGCUAGUUGGUAAGGUAACGGCUUACCAAGGCAACGAUGCAUAGCCGACCUGAGAGGGUGAUCGGCCACACUGGAACUGAGACACGGUCCAGACUCCUACGGGAGGCAGCAGUAGGGAAUCUUCCGCAAUGGGCGAAAGCCUGACGGAGCAACGCCGCGUGAGUGAUGAAGGUCUUCGGAUCGUAAAACUCUGUUAUUAGGGAAGAACAUAUGUGUAAGUAACUGUGCACAUCUUGACGGUACCUAAUCAGAAAGCCACGGCUAACUACGUGCCAGCAGCCGCGGUAAUACGUAGGUGGCAAGCGUUAUCCGGAAUUAUUGGGCGUAAAGCGCGCGUAGGCGGUUUUUUAAGUCUGAUGUGAAAGCCCACGGCUCAACCGUGGAGGGUCAUUGGAAACUGGAAAACUUGAGUGCAGAAGAGGAAAGUGGAAUUCCAUGUGUAGCGGUGAAAUGCGCAGAGAUAUGGAGGAACACCAGUGGCGAAGGCGACUUUCUGGUCUGUAACUGACGCUGAUGUGCGAAAGCGUGGGGAUCAAACAGGAUUAGAUACCCUGGUAGUCCACGCCGUAAACGAUGAGUGCUAAGUGUUAGGGGGUUUCCGCCCCUUAGUGCUGCAGCUAACGCAUUAAGCACUCCGCCUGGGGAGUACGACCGCAAGGUUGAAACUCAAAGGAAUUGACGGGGACCCGCACAAGCGGUGGAGCAUGUGGUUUAAUUCGAAGCAACGCGAAGAACCUUACCAAAUCUUGACAUCCUUUGACAACUCUAGAGAUAGAGCCUUCCCCUUCGGGGGACAAAGUGACAGGUGGUGCAUGGUUGUCGUCAGCUCGUGUCGUGAGAUGUUGGGUUAAGUCCCGCAACGAGCGCAACCCUUAAGCUUAGUUGCCAUCAUUAAGUUGGGCACUCUAAGUUGACUGCCGGUGACAAACCGGAGGAAGGUGGGGAUGACGUCAAAUCAUCAUGCCCCUUAUGAUUUGGGCUACACACGUGCUACAAUGGACAAUACAAAGGGCAGCGAAACCGCGAGGUCAAGCAAAUCCCAUAAAGUUGUUCUCAGUUCUGAUUGUAGUCUGCAACUCGACUACAUGAAGCUGGAAUCGCUAGUAAUCGUAGAUCAGCAUGCUACGGUGAAUACGUUCCCGGGUCUUGUACACACCGCCCGUCACACCACGAGAGUUUGUAACACCCGAAGCCGGUGGAGUAACCUUUUAGGAGCUAGCCGUCGAAGGUGGGACAAAUGAUUGGGGUGAAGUCGUAACAAGGUAGCCGUAUCGGAAGGUGCGGCUGGAUCACCU
rnacentral:rRNA from 1 species